CGACUGGUAGUGGGGGACAACGUUUCGAAAGGAACGCUAAUACCGCAUACGUCCUACGGGAGAAAGCAGGGGACCUUCGGGCCUUGCGCUAUCAGAUGAGCCUAGGUCGGAUUAGCUAGUUGGUGAGGUAAUGGCUCACCAAGGCGACGAUCCGUAACUGGUCUGAGAGGAUGAUCAGUCACACUGGAACUGAGACACGGUCCAG
rnacentral:rRNA from 1 species